AAGGCUCAGGACUCACUCUGAAAAUGGUGAUCCAACCUGAGGCAGCAGAAAGGAUCAGACGCAGACAGGGCCACGUGAUGCUGCUCAGAAAGGCUGCUGAAGGAGAGCCCCAGGAAAGGGCCUGAGCCCAAAUUCAGCACUAAAC
rnacentral:lncRNA from 12 species